UAUGCUGAGUUAUGGGAAAAUGCGCUACGCUGGAAUCACAGCUUAUUCAAUCAUGACCUGAUUUUAAUGAGCUGAUUUUGUGUGUGUUGUGAUUAAACAGGGGGCUAAAGGGCCUCCGGGGGACCUGGGACCAGAUGGAGAGCAAGGACCUGAGGGGCCUCCAGGACCUGAAGGAGAGCAGGGGCCUGCUGGAGAACCUGGAGCCAAGGGUGAAGCAGGGCCAGUGGGUGCAGAAGGGGAGCAAGGACAGCAGGGCUUAAGGGGGCUUCCAGGUCCAGCAGGAGAAGACGGACCUCAGGGAAAGGACGGACCAAAGGUCAGUCAGCAUUUCUGUCAUUAA
rnacentral:lncRNA from 1 species